rnacentral:rRNA from 1 species
CAAAAACGACUCUCGGCAACGGAUAUCUCGGCUCUCGCAUCGAUGAAGAACGUAGCGAAAUGCGAUACUUGGUGUGAAUUGCAGAAUCCCGUGAACCAUCGAGUCUUUGAACGCAAGUUGCGCCCGAAGCCAUUAGGCCUGAGGNAACGUCUGCCUGGGCGUCACGCAU